rnacentral:lncRNA from 1 species
AAGUAAUGUUUAGACCUUUUAAAAAAAAACUUGCAAAAAGCUGAACAUAUUGUGCUUUCAUAAUAUGUAUAUAUAUAUAUAUUUGUACAAUGUGAUUAUAUAUACAUUUUUAAAUUUAAAUUUUUGUGUUUUUUUUUUUUUUUUUUUUUUUUUUUUUUUUUUAUUUGAGCAAACGUACAUUUAUUUGUUUCUAUUAUUAACAUAUAAUUUUUUUUUUUUUAAAGAAUUCUAAAAAAAAAGUUCUCAAAAAUUGAUACACAUUUAUAAUAUGUCAUAAAAAAAAAAUUUCUUUGUUGGAAAUUACUAAUAAGGAUAAAAAAAAAAAAAAAAAAAAAUACACACAUUAAUUUACAAAACUUAGAAUGAAAAAAGAACCAGUUGGGGGCAAUAGAAAAGGUAAAGUUUAUGGCUUCACAACUAAUUUCAAUAGAACAAAUAAAAAAAUACCAAAUGAAAGAAAAAAAAAAAAUGAAUUAAAUUUUAAUUCGAUUAUAGCAGAAGAACAAAAUAAUGAAGAUAAAAAUAAAAAAAAUUUAUUUUCUGCUGAAGGAAACGAAAAAGAGCAAAACAGCAAAUUUGUGCAAACAAAUCCAAAAGCAUUAUAUAAAUUUGGUGAGAAUAAGCACUUUUUAGAUUCUAACAAAGAAAUUAAUGAAAAACCGAAAACAGGUGAUAAUUACAUACUUACAGACACUCGGAGAUUUCAAAAUAAUUUUGAAAACAAAAAAGACAAUGUAAAUUGUACUUAUAAUAGUAGUGGAAAUUAUAAAAAUAAUAGUAAUAACAAAGCGCGUUUAAAUAAUUAUAAUGUACAUAAUGUAGGAAACACUAAGGGCUUUUACUUAAAAAAAAAAUACAACGAUUUGAAGAAACCCAGUAAAAAGAACUACAGUAAAAAGAACUACAGUCAAAACAACCAGAGCCAAAACAACCAGAGCCAAAACAACCAGAGCCAAAACAACCAGAGCCAAAACAUUCAGAACCAAAACAAUCAGAGGCAAAACAAUCAAAGGCAAAACAUUCAGAGGCUAAACAAUCAGAGGCUAAACAAUCAGAGGCAAAACAAUCAGAGGCUAAACAGUAACAACCAAAACAUUCACAGCGAAAACAUAUUAAAUGAAUCCAACGAAACAAAAUAUCAGACUUAUGAUUUGAAUAAAAGCGGUUUAUAUAACAAAAGUAGCAUCAGCACACACAAAGUCGUAUCAAG